UACGGGGGGAGCAAGCGUUGUUCGGAUUUACUGGGCGUAAAGGGCGCGUAGGCGGCCACCGCAAGUCGACUGUGAAAUCUCCGGGCUUAACCCGGAAAGGUCAGCCGAUACUGCGGGGCUAGAGUGCAGAAGGGGCAACUGGAAUUCUCGGUGUAGCGGUGAAAUGCGUAGAUAUCUGGAGGAACACCGGUGGCGAAGGCGGCAUCCUGGACCGGUAUUGACGCUGAGGCGCGAAAGCCAGGGGGAGCAAACGGGG
rnacentral:rRNA from 1 species